rnacentral:rRNA from 1 species
AUUGAACGCUGGCGGCAGGCCUAACACAUGCAAGUCGAACGAGUGGCGGACGGGUGAGUAAUGUCUGGGAAACUGCCCGAUGGAGGGGGAUAACUACUGGAAACGGUAGCUAAUACCGCAUACCAUCGGAUGUGCCCAGAUGGGCUUAGCUAGUAGGUGGGGUAACGGGGCACCUAGGCGACGAUCCCUAGCUGGUCUGAGAGGAGGACCAGCCACACUGGAAAUGAGAAACGGUCCAGACUCCUACGGGAGGCAGCAGUGGUGAAUAUUGCACAAUGGGCGCAAGCCUGAUGCAGCCAUGCCGCGUGUAUGAAGAAGGCCUUCGGGUUGUAAAGUACUUUCAGCGGGGAGGCGUUACCCGCAGAAGAAGCACCGACUAACUCCGUGCCAGCAGCCGCGGUAAUUC